ACAGUGUCUGGUGGGUAGUUUGACUGGGGCGGUCUCCUCCUAAAGAGUAACGGAGGAGCACGAAGGUUGGCUAAUCCUGGUCGGACAUCAGGAGGUUAGUGCAAUGGCAUAAGCCAGCUUGACUGCGAGCGUGACGGCGCGAGCAGGUGCGAAAGCAGGUCAUAGUGAUCCGGUGGUUCUGAAUGGAAGGGCCAUCGCUCAACGGAUAAAAGGUACUCCGGGGAUAACAGGCUGAUACCGCCCAAGAGUUCAUAUCGACGGCGGUGUUUGGCACCUCGAUGUCGGCUCAUCACAUCCUGGGGCUGAAGUAGGUCCCAAGGGUAUGGCUGUUCGCCAUUUAAAGUGGUACGCGAGCUGGGUUUAGAACGUCGUGAGACAGUUCGGUCCCUAUCUGCCGUGGGCGCUGGAGAACUGAGGGGGGCUGCUCCUAGUACGAGAGGACCGGAGUGGACGCAUCACUGGUGUUCGGGUUGUCAUGCCAAUGGCACUGCCCGGUAGCUAAAUGCGGAAGAGAUAA
rnacentral:rRNA from 1 species